UACGGAGGGUGCAAGCGUUAUCCGGAUUCACUGGGUUUAAAGGGUGCGUAGGCGGGUCUUUAAGUCAGGGGUGAAAUCCUGGAGCUCAACUCCAGAACUGCCUUUGAUACUGAGGAUCUUGAGUAUGGGAGAGGUGAGUGGAACUGCGAGUGUAGAGGUGAAAUUCGUAGAUAUUCGCAAGAACACCAGUGGCGAAGGCGGCUCACUGGCCCAUUACUGACGCUGAGGCACGAAAGCGUGGGGAGCAAACAGG
rnacentral:rRNA from 1 species